rnacentral:rRNA from 1 species
GACGUAGGGCGCGAGCGUUGUCCGGAUUUAUUGGGCGUAAAGAGCUCGUAGGCGGCUUGUCGCGUCGACCGUGAAAACUUGGGGCUCAACCCCAAGCCUGCGGUCGAUACGGGCAGGCUAGAGUUCGGUAGGGGAGACUGGUAUUCCUGGUGUAGCGGUGAAAUGCGCAGAUAUCAGGAGGAACACCGGUGGCGAAGGCGGGUCUCUGGGCCGAUACUGACGCUGAGGCGCGAAAGCCAGGGGAGCGAACGGG